rnacentral:misc_RNA from 1 species
AAUCCAAUCAAGCCUGGCUUGGUAUUGGGCGUCGGGACUCUCCCGCGCCUCAAUUUCACCGGCUGGCCGUCGCCCGUCUUAGCGUUGUGACACACUUCUCGCUAGCGAUGGAAGCGGACCACGCCGUUAGAACUCAAUGAAUUUCCAUCGAAAUUCGAUUA